AACGAACGCUGGCGGCAUGCCUAACACAUGCAAGUCGAACGAGACCUUCGGGUCUAGUGGCGCACGGGUGCGUAACGAGUGGGAACCUGCCCUUAGGUUCGGAAUAACUCCCCGAAGGGGGUGCUAAUAACGGUUAAGGUCUUCGGGCCAAAGAUUUAUCGCCUUUGGGUGGGGCCGUGUUGGAUUAGCUGGUUGGUAGGGUAAAAGCAUACCAAGGCGAGGAUCCAUGGCUGGUCGGUGAGGAGGAUCAGCAACACUGGGACUGCGACACGGCCCAGACUCCGAGGGGAGGCAGCAGUGGGGAAUAUUGGGGGAGGGGCGAAAGCCUGAUACAGCAGUGCGGGGUGAGUGAUGAAGGCCUUUGGGUUGUACAUCUCUUUUACACGGGAUGAUAAUGACGGUACCGGGAGAAUAAGCACCGGCUAACUCCGUG
rnacentral:rRNA from 1 species